rnacentral:rRNA from 1 species
UGCGUAGGCGGUUAUAUAAGUCAUUUGUAAAAGAUCUCAGCUCAACUGAGUAGAGCGAAUGAAACUGUAUGACUUGAAUACGGUAGAGGUAAGUGGAAUUCCAUGUGUAGCGGUGGAAUGCGUAGAUAUAUGGAGGAACACCAAUGGCGAAGGCAACUUACUGGGCCGGAAUUGACGCUGAGGCACGAAAGCGUGGGGAGCAAACAGGAUUAGAUACCCUGGUAGUCC